CAGGACGUUGAUAGGCUGGGUGUGGAAGUGCAGUAAUGCAUUAAGCUAACCAGUACUAAUUGCCCGUACGGCUUGUCCC
rnacentral:rRNA from 1 species